rnacentral:rRNA from 1 species
UACGUAGGGGGCAAGCGUUGUCCGGAAUCAUUGGGCGUAAAGCGCGCGUAGGCGGCCCGAUCAGUCCGCUGUAAAAGUCCAGGGCUCAACCCUGGAAAGCCGGUGGAUACUGUCGGGCUAGAGUCCGGAAGAGGCGAGUGGAAUUCCUGGUGUAGCGGUGGAGUGCGCAGAUAUCAGGAAGAACACCAAUGGCGAAAGCAGCUUUCUGGGACGGUACUGACGCUGAGACGCGAAAGCGUGGGGAGCGAACAGG